rnacentral:lncRNA from 1 species
GAAUCACAGUUCACCUUAGCUGAACUUGUGUGAUCUUCUAGUUCACGGUAGUUAGUGUGAGGCUGUCGGUCCGCUCCGGUGUGGCUGUCGCGAGGAUGAACAGCUCCUCUUGAUCAUUACCAAAAAAAAAAAAAACUACCUUUAAAAGACGUAGUGUGUCGUCAUGUUUUUGUGUAGAUCAGAAGGUUGUGAUAGUUUGCUGGCGGACAGACCGCAUUAACGGUCGUGUGUUAACCGCGUUCAAGAAUUUCAGCCUGGACUUGAAAAAUAAUAACGGUCGUCGUGGUUUUACCCAACGACUCCCGUCAAGUUUCCUUUGUUUGUUUUGCCGUUGCUCGUUUCUAACGACAACUAAAGGAGCACGAAUGAUCCAGAUGAAGCUACGAAGCGGAGGAAACGCGGACGUAAAUAAUUGGUGCUUGAAAUGGCGAAAAUCUAUAUCGGACUCAACCCAGAGAUGGAAUGUACGUCCACCUUUUAUCUGGUUCAGGGGCUUUGGACUACACUGACAAACAUGCGUAUUGCAGGACUAUGCAGAGGCUGACCUCAGAUUUCACCUCUGUAAUUGAGGAGUCCUGUAGACACGUGCCCACGGGGGCCCAGGAGAGACCACCACCGCUGCAAGCUCACUGCUACCUCUGCGCCGGAGGAAAAGGGUGUCUGAAAAUAUGAUGUUGGCCGAUCAGAUCUUGCGAUGGUUUUCUGAUCAUUUCCCAGCUGUUGUGUUUUCUGUCAUGUUGUGCAAAUGCUGCUUAAUUGGCUUAAAUAUCUUCUACACAUAUACUAUGCCUUCACAAAUCCAUUUGGUCAUGACUCAUGUGUAUGUGGGCAUAUUUCUUAUUGAAUAUUAAUUUUUCUCUCUGUAUAUGUAAACUCUAGACCUUUUGCGUAUGGUUUUCUGAUCAUUUCCCAGCUGUUGUGUUUUCUGUCAUGUUGUGCAAAUGCUGCUUAAUUGGCUUAAAUAUCUUCUACACAUAUACUAUGCCUUCACAAAUCCAUUUGGUCAUGUGUAUGUGGGCAUAUUUCUUAUUGAAUAUUAAUUUUUCUCUCUGUAUAUGUAAACUCUAGACCUUUUGCGAAAGAUUUAGAUGCUGAUGGACAUUUCAGAUCUUAAACAUGUUGCUUUUUCUGUGGAAGUACAACUCUCGUUUGAUGAACUAGGCCACCAACUAGGAUUGAAAUGUUUUUUAAUCUGCGCCAGGCAUUUCUUGUUGUGUUUUUUAAUAAAUGUUUUGCUUCAUGGGAGUGUUAUG